rnacentral:rRNA from 1 species
GAUGAACGCUGGCGGCGUGCCUAAUACAUGCAAGUCGAGCGAACGGACGAGAAGCUUGCUUCUCUGAUGUUAGCGGCGGACGGGUGAGUAACACGUGGAUAACCUACCUAUAAGACUGGGAUAACUUCGGGAAACCGGAGCUAAUACCGGAUAAUAUUUUGAACCGCAUGGUUCAAAAGUGAAAGACGGUCUUGCUGUCACUUAUAGAUGGAUCCGCGCUGCAUUAGCUAGUUGGUAAGGUAACGGCUUACCAAGGCAACGAUGCAUAUCCGACCUGAGAGGGUGAUCGGGCACACUGGAACUGAGACACGGUCCAGACUCCUACGGGAGGCAGCAGUAGGGAAUCUUCCGGAAUGGGCGAAAGCCUGACGGAGCAACGCCGCGUGAGUGAUGAAGGGCUUCGGAUCGUAAAACUCUGUUAUUAGGGAAGAACAUAUGUGUAAGUAACUGUGCACAUCUUGACGGUACCUAAUCAGAAAGCCACGGCUAGCUACGUG